GGCUCAGGAUGAACGCUAGCGGCAGGCUUAACACAUGCAAGUCGAGGGGCAUCGGGAGUAGCAAUACUGCCGGCGACCGGCGCAAGGGUGCGUAACGCGUGAGCAACAUGCCCGUAUCAGGGGGGAUAAUCCAUGGAAACGUGGUCCUAAUACCCCAUAGUAAUUAUGUAAGGCAUCUUAUAUAAUUUAAAGCUUUGGUGGAUACGGAUUGGCUCGCGUGACAUUAGCUGGAUGGUAAGGUAACGGCUUACCAUGGCUACGAUGUCUAGGGGUUCUGAGAGGAAGGUCCCCCACACUGGAACUGAGACACGGUCCAGACUCCUACGGGAGGCAGCAGUGAGGAAUAUUGGACAAUGGAUGGAAAUCUGAUCCAGCCAUGCCGCGUGCAGGAAGAACCGGCCCUAUGGGUUGUAAACUGCUUUUGUAUGGGAGCAAUAAGGGCUACGUGUAGUCCGAUGAGAGUACCAUACGAAUAAGCACCGGCUAACUCCGUGCCAGCAGCAGC
rnacentral:rRNA from 1 species